rnacentral:rRNA from 1 species
CGCGUAGGCGGCUUGGCAAGUCAGAUGUGAAAGCCCCGGGCUUAACUCGGGAAUUGCAUCUGAAACUGCUUUGCUUGAGUCCUGGAUGGGAUAGUGGAAUUCCCAGUGUAGCGGUGAAAUGCGUAGAUAUUGGGAGGAACACCUGCGGCGAAGGCGGCUAUCUGGACAGUGACUGACGCUGAGGCGCGAAAGCUAGGGGAGCGAACG